rnacentral:rRNA from 1 species
AUACGGAGGGUGCAAGCGUUAUCCGGAAUCAUUGGGUUUAAAGGGUCCGUAGGCGGGAAUCUAAGUCAGUGGUGAAAUCUUGCAGCUCAACUGUAAAAUUGCCAUUGAUACUGGAUUUCUUGAAUUAGUGUGAAGUGGUUAGAAUGUGUAGUGUAGCGGUGAAAUGCAUAGAUAUUACACAGAAUACCAAUUGCGAAGGCAGAUCACUAACACUAUAUUGACGCUAAGGGACGAAAGCGUGGGGAGCGAACAGGAUUAGAUACCCCAGUAGUCC